GUAACAUUAUUCAAUUUAUUAAUGCAUAAUUUGCAUUCAUUAAUUGAAAAAUCAAGUAGGGCAUAUAAUAGAUUGUAGUAAUAAUUUUGAAUUUAGAGGUUCUGACCAAACUUAUCUCAAAAGCUGACAAGUGACAUUGGAAUGUAAUUCCUGAACUAGAAUCACAGACAUUGCUAUAGAGAGGAAAGGAACAGAAAUGCAGACUGUCCUGUGUGUAGUGCCAAUUUGAACAAGCUAGGAAAACGCCUACCCUAUGCACAUUGUGCCAAUUCAAAAUUGAUCUGUUCAAUAUCGGGCCUUCCACUUAAUGAAAACAAUCCUCCAAUGGCAUUACCUAAUGGGCAUGUAUAUGGUUACAACUCGCUCUCUGAUUUAGCCCGCUUAAAUGAGGGAAGGGUGGUUUGUCCAAGGACCAGAGAGAUUUUCCACCUAGACGAGGCAGAGAAAGUGUUUGUUAUGUAAUGGUUAAACAGAAGAAAAAAGACAUAUCCAUUAGAAUUAUAUACCUAUAUGCUGUACUUAUGUUCAAUCUUUCCGUGCUAUUAUGCAAAAACUACACAGUGAUAUCUGUAUGAGCCAAAUUACUCCAAGAUGUACCCUGAUAGUUAUGAGCAUGUAUAAAUGCAACAAGAAAUUUUAAAAAAAAAAAUAUCUAUAUGAAUUUUCUUAAUGUACAAUACAUGGUUGAAACCAUUAAUUAACUUUCAUGAAUGUUUUCAUAAGAAUGCUGGGAGUAAUUUUCAAUGGAGUCUGCUUGUAAUUAACCCAUCAUGUAAAUAAAUUCCUUGAUUAAAUUGAA